rnacentral:rRNA from 1 species
GACGAACCGUGCGAACGUUGUUCGGAUUCACUGGGCUUAAAGGGCUCGCAGGCGGCCAACUAAGUCAGACGUGAAAUCCCUCGGCUUAACCGGGGGAACUGCAUCUGAUACUGGAUGGCUUGAGUUCGGGAGAGGGAUGCGGAAUUCCAGGUGUAGCGGUGAAAUGCGUAGAUAUCUGGAGGAACACCGGUGGCGAAGGCGGCAUCCUGGACCGGCACUGACGCUGAGGAGCGAAAGCCAGGGGAGCAAACGGG